UACGGAGGGUGCGAGCGUUGUCCGGAAUCACUGGGCGUAAAGGGCGCGUAGGUGGCUUAGAAAGCGUGUGGUGAAAGCCCGGGGCUUAACCCCGGGUCUGCCGUGCGAACUACUAUGGCUAGAGGACUGUAGAGGCAAGUUGAAUUCCGGGUGUAGCGGUGGAAUGCGUAGAGAUCCGGAAGAAUACCGGUGGCGAAGGCGGCUUGCUGGGCAGUGGCUGACGCUGAGGCGCGACAGCGUGGGGAGCAAACAGG
rnacentral:rRNA from 1 species